rnacentral:rRNA from 1 species
CACGUAGGGUGCGAGCGUUGUCCGGAAUUAUUGGGCGUAAAGAGCUCGUAGGCGGUGUGUCGCGUCGGCCGUGAAAACCUGCAGCUUAACUGUGGGCGUGCGGUCGAUACGGGCAUCACUGGAGUUCGGCAGGGGAGACUGGAAUUCCUGGUGUAGCGGUGAAAUGCGCAGAUAUCAGGAGGAACACCGGUGGCGAAGGCGGGUCUCUGGGCCGAUACUGACGCUGAGGCACGAAAGCGUGGGGAUCAAACAGG